rnacentral:tRNA from 1 species
GGGCCCAUAGCUCAGUUGGUUAGAGCGCGUCCCUGAUAAGGACGAGGUCGCUGGUUCGAAUCCAGCUGGGCCCA